GUGUGUGUGUAUAGGGGUGUGUAGGUGUGUGUAGGGGUUGUGUGUAGGUGUAUGUGUGUCGGGGUGUGUGUAGGUGUGUGUAGGUGUGUGUGUGUAGGGUGUAUGUACAUGUAGGUGUGUGUGUGAGUGUGGGUGGCGCGAGGGUUCUCCAGCCCCAAGUGCGUUGGUAAGAACGCGAGGAGGGGAGAAGGACAGCUGGAACCGUCUGAGCGGCGGGGGAGCCGGUGUGUGAAGCCGGCACCACGUUAGCGGAACCGAGUUAUUGAAGGGCCCCACCUGGGUGGAGCCGUGAGUGUGAGCAGCUUCCGCUUCCCCCGGAAGCUGGCGUCGUGCAGGAACCCUCACCCGCCCGAGCGGGGCCCUGGGCCUCCGGGUCACUCUCUGUGGCGGGGUCUGGCUGCGCGUCAGACGGCCUCCUCCAAUGCCCGCAGUUGCUGUCGCCCCCAGGCCUGGACCGGGGAGUGAGGGGUGGGCCUGACCGGCCCCUGAGCUCCCGUCAGCCCCCCACGCGAGCCCGUCCUGUGCUGGGGGCAGGGAGAUGGGCCGGUGGGAGAGGAGACCGCAUCCAGCCCUCCCUGGCCACCUGCAGGGUCCCCACCGUGGCGGCUGCUUUACUGCUAACUCCUCCCGGGGACCCCAAGUCCCCAUCGCUCUCGGGGGUCCCCCUCAUCCGAACCGCCUCGGAGGAGGGCCGCAUCUCACGCGGAGCACCCCUCCACGCCUGUGACCCUGGACUUGCUCUCCCGCCCCCGCCCGGGCCUCAGGGCUCAGGAGGCCGUGAUGAAGCCAGCAGUACCCUUCUGAGGUUAAUCCGCGUUGAUAGAAGCAGGUGUGGUUCAUCUGGAAUCUGUUGGUGUGAACUGCGCGGCGGCGUCCCCCACCAGGCACCACAGGUGAUUCAUUCGUUUCCCUGAAAAGGCGCCUGGAUGCUGUUUCUAGCUCCCGUUAUCCCCAGCGAUGCUGCACCUGCCCCAGGACACACGCUAGGGUGGAACCGCCGGGCAUGGAGCAGGUGUGGUCUCAACCGCAGGAGAAACAGCCGGGUAGCCUCCAAAGGGACGUGCCACUUGGCGCUCCUGCAAGGGGAGAGGCACUGAGGCUCUCGGUCCUCACCAGCACGUCCUUGUGCCACACUCAGGCCCGGCGGGUGGUGUGGGGGCCGCAUCUCAUGGAGGUCUCCGUCCACGUUGCCCCCAUUGUGACCGCAGCGGGCGCCUCUUGGUAGCAGCCACCGGCCUCUUCUGGGACUCGCCGGAGGGUUUCCACGUCGCCCGCUCCGACGGGGCUGUUCAUCUCCCCUUGAUCUGUGGGACUCCCCGUCCGUCUCAGAUCCCAUGGCUUGUCUCUGACACAAGACGCCAACGAAGAUCGGCAUUUCUGCAACCUCUGGCUUCCAGGAAGGCUGCCUCCCUCCCCAACUUCCUCUGAUCAUCGUGCGGCUGAGGAACAGAUGGGGAACCAGGUGCACAGAGAGGUAUGGCCACCUUCACGGGGUCACACAGGCUGAGAAAUGAUAUGGUGGGUGAUGCAGAUGAGGGUCCAGGGUGCCUGCCCUGGGGAGCAUGAUGAGCAGAUGGCGGUGCAGCCACACGUGGAGGACUCAGCUCCCAGAGCAAUAAAGGGACACCUACGCCAUGCAUGAGGCUGGGAGACUGUGCAGGGGGAAGAAGUCACUCGCCAGGAGCCCAGGUGUGUGGAAUUCUGGAACAGACUAGAUCUACCCUGGACUAACCUGGACUGGAACUAACAGACUAGAACUAACUAGAACGAAUUCUAGAACUAACCUACGGUGGAAAACAUCAGAAUGGCAGUGGCUUCUGGGGGCCAGAGGUAGGAAGGCACUGGGCAGGGGUAUGCAGCAACAUUUUGGGGGCAUUGUCUUUUUUAUUUUUCAGAGGAAGGGUCUUGCUCUGUUGCCCAGGCUGGAGUGCAGUGGCUCAAUCAUGGCUCACUGCAGUCUUGACCUCCUGGGUUCAAGCCAUCCUCCCACCUCAGCCUCCUGAAUAGCUGGGACCACAGGCAUGUGCUGCUACACCUGGCUCAUUUUUUUAUUUUUGUAGAGAUGGGGCCUCCCUGCAUUGCCCAGGCUGGUCUUCAACUCCUGGGCUCCAGUGAUCCUCCCACCUCUGCCUCCCAAAGUGUUGGAAUUAUAGGCGUGAGCCACCGCACCCGGCCUGAUGUCUGUCUCUUGAUAAGGGUUUGGGCUGCAGAAGUGGUCCGUUAGUCAGAGCAUUCAGUGGCUCCUUCAGAGUUAUACAUUUCAUGGUAUGUGAAUUUUACUCAAAGCAAUAAAAAAUCUGAAACGAAUAUUGAACUCUAGAUCAUGACAUGCAGUCGGCCGGUUAAGGGGGAGAGAGUACUGGUGCCUGCAACUUGGAAAGAGAUUGAUUAUGGGUGGGCAGAGGGACAGAGAAACAAGAUGAAGCGGGUCUAGCGAAACGUCAGUUGUGGAAUAACAGGUGAUAGCAUCUGGGUGCUCACUGUGAAAUCAUCUCAACUUUUCCAGAUGUUUGAAACAUUUCAAAGUUCAAUAUGAAAAGCAAUGAAAAAGAAUCUGGGCUUUGCAGACAAACUGCUGGGAGGUGGCCACGGCCCAGUAUCUGUGUGGUCCUGGGUGGGUUUCUCAGCCUCACGGUGCCUCAGGGUCCUGACUGUUAAGUGUGGGUGGUAAUAGCACCGCUGCCCACGGCGUGGGUGAAUUAACACAGGCAGGGCACUUAGACAGUGCCUGGCACACAGCAGGUGCUUAAUAAAUGUGCCCUUUGUUGAUGUUAUUCCUCAGCCCUGAAAGUAUCAGCCACGUGUCCUCCAGCUACUCAGAGAUGCUGAGGAACAGCUGGGAUUUGCACUGGGUUCACGUGCAGGGGACCCCAAAGAGCCAAAACAAGCUUGAAAAGGAAAGAACAAAGUGGGAAGACUCAGCUGGGUGCAGUGGCUCAUGCUUGUAAUCUCAGCAUUUUGGGAAGCCAAGGCAGGAGGAUCACUUAAGUCCAGGAGUUCAAGACCAACCUGGGCAACAUAGCAAGACUCCAUCUCUACAAAAAAAAAUUUUAAAUUAGCUGGAUGUGGUGGCAUAUGCCUGUAGUCCCAGCUACUCAGGAGACUAGGGUGGGAGGAUCGCUUGAGCCUAGGAGUUCAAGGCUGCAGUGAGCUAUGAUUGCACCACUGCAUUCUAGCCUGGGCAACAGAGCAAGACUCUGUUUCUAGAAAAAAAAAAAAGUGGGAAGACUCACACUUCCUAUUGUGAAAACUUCCUACGGUAAUGAGGACAGUGUGGUACUGUGGUAAGGACAGAUAUGAACAGCAAUGGGCUAGAACUGAGAGUCCAGAAAUAAACCCUUGUAUUUUUACUCUAUUUAUUUCCAAUAAGGGAGCCAAGACAAUUUGAUGGGGCUAGGGGAAGAGGAGACCUUUGACACAUAGUGCUGGGUCAAGUAGUCACAUGCAAGAGAAUGAAGAUGGACCCUUACCUCACACCAUAUACAAACAUCAACUCAAGAUGCAUCCAAGGCUAGGUGUGGUGGCUCACACCUGUAAUCCCAGCACUUUGGGAGGCCAAGGCAGGUGGAUUACCUGAGGUCAGGAGUUCAAGACCAGCCUGGCCAACAUGGUGAAACCCUGCCUCUACUAAAAACACACACACACACAAAAUUAGCUGGGC
rnacentral:lncRNA from 1 species